CCUACGGGAGGCAGCAGUGAGGAAUAUUGGACAAUGGACGAGAGUCUGAACCAGCCAAGCAGCGUGAAGGAUGACUGCCCUCUGGGUUGUAAACUUCUUUUAUAUGGGAGUAAAAUGUUCCACGUGUGGGAUUUUGUAUGUACCAUAUGAAUAAGGAUCGGCUAACUCCGUGCCAGCAGCCGCGGUAAUACGGAGGAUCCGAGCGUUCUCCGGAUUUAUUGGGUUUAAGGGGAGCGUAGGUGGAUUGUUAAGUCAGUUGUGAAAGUUUGCGGCUCAACCGUAAAAUUGCUGUUGAAACUGGCAGUCUUGAGUACAGUAGAGGUGGGCGGAAUUCGUGGUGUAGCGGUGAAAUGCUUAGAUAUCAGGAAGAACUCCGAUUGCGAAGGCAGUUCACUGGACUGCAACUGACACUGAGGCUCGAAAGUGUGGGUAGCAAACAGGAUUAGAUACCCGAGUAGUC
rnacentral:rRNA from 1 species